AUGGUACUCCCUCCGUCCCAUAUUAAGUGUCCAAAUAUUACAUGUAUCUAGACGCUUUGUAGGGACAGAUACAUCCAUAUUUGGAUAAAUUUGAGACACUUAAUAUGGGACGGAGGGAGUACAAU
rfam:Brachypodium distachyon strain Bd21 chromosome 3, whole genome shotgun sequence.